UGUGUGCAUGUGUGCAUGCGUGCGUGCGUGCUUGCGUGUGAGCGUGUGUGUGUAUGUGUGUGUCUAGGUGUGUUUGAGGUCUCACUCUUCGCCAGUAUGAUUCAGCCAUCCACCUCUACAUGAAACACAUGAACCGAGACUGGAAAGAUGAUGUUGCUCAACAGUGAUUCCCGAUUUCCCAAUACUUACCAGGAUGUUAAAGUGACUUUCACACCGGUGCACCAAAAUAGCACCUGAAACCAACGUGAGAGGAGGCGGACAUCAGCGCCAGUGCCAGCCAUCUCUUGUCUGUGAUUUGGUUGAGUCAGCCAGUGUGGCCCAAUCUCUAGCAGACGGAGGAACCACCAUGAGAGCUGACUCUACCUCUCUGUGAGAUACCGGCCUUCGUUAUCUCUUCCGAGCUGAGACAGCUGGAUUAGGAGGAAAUUUUCCCCAACCUUAUUUCAUCUCGCAACUCCGUCGCUCAUUCACUUGUCCAUCUACGCGCAUCCAGCCAUCUGUCCUCUCAUCCCCACUCUCACAUGCGCUCCCUGGAUCGCAUUCAUGUUCCUGGCCUGGCCUCAGCUUUUUCCAGUCUCCAGCUUUUUCUUUUUUUUUUUCCAAAGCCAUUUUUUCUCUUCUUUUCAAUAGUACGACCAAAAAACACCCUCACACACACACGCUGGGCACGGCCUUCUGUGAGGCCGAGGAGCAUAGUUAAUAUUUACUGGGCUUACACGCAGCUCUAUCAGGGGAAAGUCAUCUCUCUGCAUAAACAUCCUCAGGGCACUUUUAGAGCUAUCUGCCCCUACAUCGCUGCUCUAGUUUAGGGGAGACCAAGGAGGGCUGCUUUUGUG